CUCAGGACGAACGCUGGCGGCGUGCCUAAUACAUGCAAGUCGAGCGGACAGAUGGGAGCUUGCUCCCUGAUGUUAGCGGCGGACGGGUGAGUAACACGUGGGUAACCUGCCUGUAAGACUGGGAUAACUCCGGGAAACCGGGGCUAAUACCGGAUGGUUGUUUGAACCGCAUGGUUCAAACAUAAAAGGUGGCUUCGGCUACCACUUACAGAUGGACCCGCGGCGCAUUAGCUAGUUGGUGAGGUAACGGCUCACCAAGGCGACGAUGCGUAGCCGACCUGAGAGGGUGAUCGGCCACACUGGGACUGAGACACGGCCCAGACUCCUACGGGAGGCAGCAGUAGGGAAUCUUCCGCAAUGGACGAAAGUCUGACGGAGCAACGCCGCGUGAGUGAUGAAGGUUUUCGGAUCGUAAAGCUCUGUUGUUAGGGAAGAACAAGUACCGUUCGAAUAGGGCGGUACCUUGACGGUACCUAACCAGAAAGCCACGGCUAACUACGUGCCAGCAGCCGCGGUAAUACGUAGGUGGCAAGCGUUGUCCGGAAUUAUUGGGCGUAAAGGGCUCGCAGGCGGUUUCUUAAGUCUGAUGUGAAAGCCCCCGGCUCAACCGGGGAGGGUCAUUGGAAACUGGGGAACUUGAGUGCAGAAGAGGAGAGUGGAAUUCCACGUGUAGCGGUGAAAUGCGUAGAGAUGUGGAGGAACACCAGUGGCGAAGGCGACUCUCUGGUCUGUAACUGACGCUGAGGAGCGAAAGCGUGGGGAGCGAACAGGAUUAGAUACCCUGGUAGUCCACGCCGUAAACGAUGAGUGCUAAGUGUUAGGGGGUUUCCGCCCCUUAGUGCUGCAGCUAACGCAUUAAGCACUCCGCCUGGGGAGUACGGUCGCAAGACUGAAACUCAAAGGAAUUGACGGGGGCCCGCACAAGCGGUGGAGCAUGUGGUUUAAUUCGAAGCAACGCGAAGAACCUUACCAGGUCUUGACAUCCUCUGACAAUCCUAGAGAUAGGACGUCCCCUUCGGGGGCAGAGUGACAGGUGGUGCAUGGUUGUCGUCAGCUCGUGUCGUGAGAUGUUGGGUUAAGUCCCGCAACGAGCGCAACCCUUGAUCUUAGUUGCCAGCAUUCAGUUGGGCACUCUAAGGUGACUGCCGGUGACAAACCGGAGGAAGGUGGGGAUGACGUCAAAUCAUCAUGCCCCUUAUGACCUGGGCUACACACGUGCUACAAUGGACAGAACAAAGGGCAGCGAAACCGCGAGGUUAAGCCAAUCCCACAAAUCUGUUCUCAGUUCGGAUCGCAGUCUGCAACUCGACUGCGUGAAGCUGGAAUCGCUAGUAAUCGCGGAUCAGCAUGCCGCGGUGGAAUACGUUCCCGGGGCCUUGUACACACCGCCCGUCACACCACGAGAGUUUGUAACACCCGAAGUCGGUGAGGUAACCUUUUAGGAGCCAGCCGCCGAAGGUGGGACAGAUGAUUGGGGUGAAGUCGUA
rnacentral:rRNA from 1 species